AGCGUAGGUAGCCUAACAUGUCAACUGUGAAAACCCGGAGCUCAACUCCGGACUUGCAGUUGAAACUGGUAGGCUUGAGGACGGUAGAGGAAGACGGAACUGCCAGUGUAGGGGUAAAAUCCUUAGAUAUUGGCAGGAACGCCGGUGACGAAGGUGGUUUUCUGGGCCGGUUCUGACACUGAUGCUCGAAAGCCAGGGGAGCGAACG
rnacentral:rRNA from 1 species